CUGCGCCGCCUCCUUCCUCGGUCACCAACUCCCCCAGUGGCCAGUGCAGUGUCCUGCACGCGUGCAUGAGCGAUGAGAGCUCUCUCAUCGCCCGCCGCCUCCUUCCUCCCGGGAAUCCUCAAUCCCAGCGCAAAUCCUAACCCUCGCGCGCCUCUCCGUUCGGCGGUGGCGGCGCUCUCGCGGGGCCCUUGCCCUUCCGGCCGCUCCGUCGCCGCCGCGGCUGCCGCCGCCACCGGGGACCACUGGGGCGCCGACCACUACCACGGCGGCGGCCACGCGAGCUCGCAGGAGGCCGCGGCCCGUGCGGCGCACGGCGUGAAGUGCGACGUGGACGUGGUGUCGUGGCGGGAGCGGCGGGUGCUCGGGUCCGUGGCCGUGGCCGCCGACGUCGACACCCUGUGGCAGGUCAUCACCGACUACGAGCGCCUAGCCGACUUCAUCCCCAACCUCGUCCAGAGCGGGAGGAUUCCGUGCCCGCACGAAGGGCGGAUAUGGCUGGAGCAGAGGGGACUGCAGCAGGCGUUGUACUGGCACAUCGAGGCCCGCGUCGUGUUGGAUCUCCAGGAAGUCCCUGAUUCCAUUAAUGGACGAGAACUCCAUUUCUCAAUGGUAGAUGGUGACUUCAAGAAGUUUGAAGGAAAAUGGUCCAUCAGAUCUGGUCCAAGCAGGUCCUCUAGUGCAAUUUUGCUGUAUGAAGUUAAUGUGAUACCAAGAUUUAACUUCCCGGCAAUAUUUCUUGAGAGGAUUAUAAGGUCGGAUCUUCCUGUAAAUCUUCGGGCCUUGGCUUGUAGAGCUGAAAAGAUUUAUUUAGAAAAUCAAAGAUGUGGUUUUUCUGCUGUGGAUUCGAAGCCAUCGUCCACUUCUUCUCAGCUUAAGUUCCAUAGUUCAACAAUUGAUACUACUUCUAGUAAGUUCAAAGAAGCACCUCCCACUUCUGGUGUUGGUAGUGUGCUUCCGUCACCUUCUUCUGAGUUGAUUGGCAAAUGGGGUGUAUAUGGAAACACAUGCAGAAUUGAUAGGCCUUGUGUGGUGGAUGAGAUCCAUCUUCGAAGAUUUGAUGGCCUCUUGGAACAUGAGGGGGCUCACAGGUGUGUUUUUGCUAGUAUCACUGUGAAAGCACCAGUUCGAGAGGUAUGGAAUGUUCUCACGGCAUAUGAGAAUUUACCUGAAUUUGUGCCAAACCUGGCUAUCAGUAGGAUUGUCCUUCGUGAUAAUAACAAGGUCCGCAUAAUGCAGGAGGGUUGCAAAGGCCUACUGUAUAUGGUCCUUCAUGCCCGUGUUGUUAUGGAUCUUCGCGAAAAACUUGAGGAAGAGAUCAGCUUUGAACAAGUUGAGGGUGAUUUCUACUCAUUCAAAGGGAAAUGGCGCUUUGAACAACUUGGUGAUCAGCACACCUUGUUGAAGUACAUGGUUGAGACUAAAAUGCAUAAGGACACAUUUCUCUCUGAGUCUAUUCUUGAAGAGAUCAUAUAUGAGGACCUUCCGUCAAACUUGUGUGCAAUCCGUGAUUAUAUUGAAAAGGCUGGAGCUGAAGGCAGCAACUCCACAACUCAUUCUGCUGCACCAACACACCCAGAUAUUGAUCAUGCAGAAGACAGGCAAUCAGAGAAAGAAUCUGCAUCUUGCUCCUUCAGUUCCAUGAAACAGAGACCAAAAGUCCCUGGCUUGCAAAAGGACAUUGAGGUCCUCAAAUCUGAGCUUGAGAAUUUCAUUGCUAAGUACGGUCAGGAUGGUUUCAUGCCUAAGAGAAAGCAUCUUCGGUCUCAUGGAAGGGUGGAUAUCGAGAAGGCAAUAACACGAAUGGGUGGAUUCAGGAAGAUUGCCAGCACAAUGAACCUUUCCCUUUCUUACAAAAAUCGAAAACCAAGAGGUUAUUGGGAUAAUCUGGAGAACUUGCAAGAAGAGAUCAGUCGGUUCCAGAAGAGCUGGGGGAUGGAUCCUUCUUAUAUGCCAAGUAGAAAAUCUUUUGAGAGAGCAGGUCGUUACGACAUUGCUCGGGCAUUGGAAAAAUGGGGUGGCGUGCAGGAGGUUUCACGCCUUCUUUCUCUUGAACUAAGGCGGCCUAGAAGGCAAGCUGACUCUGAUGAUGAGAGGCAGUCUGAAUCACCAGCUGGCAGUGGCAUUACAAAGCAGCAUGGAAUGAAACCUGAUAAAGCCAACACGUCCCUGGACGCACAUAAAUGGCUCCUGAAGCUGAAGGAUUUGGAUGUUAACUGGGUGGAAUAUUAGAUUAAUAAGCUUCGAAAAAGAAAUGCUGUAAAUUGGAGGUGAUCUGGAAGCAUUCUUUUCCAUCGUUGGAGGUGAUCUGGAAGCAUUCUUUCAAAGAAGCUGUAAAUUGUGUACAGAAAAAUUGCAAUGCACAGGCCAACCCAUGCUGAAAGGUUACAGGCAACAGGUUUUCAUUUGUCAACUGUCAUGACUCUUGGUCCUCAAGUGUUACUUAUCUAGAAGUGUCGACUACUACUCCCAGCUUUGUUGCAGUCAAAUUGAUCCGUGGAUUUGACCAAAGACAAACCACUAAACGCAAAUGGGGGUGUUGAUUGCAUGUACCUGUUCAAAGGUGUUUAGAGUCAGAAAGAGAAGGUUACUGUCCAGUAGUUUCAAUCAGCACGGUUACAUUAGUCUGUCAGGCACAGUUACCUUCGGUGUUCCCUGCUUCAUGGCAAGUAAGGUAAUGAGCCGGCGAGGACGUUCGUCAACGAAGGGGCAUGAUGGUUUGCUUCGACAGGUAAUAUGUUGUUGGCUAUUAGCGGGUUUUGCUUGAGAAAUCAGAUUACUAGAAACCGAACUUUAAAAAAUUUAAUUUUCUUAA